rnacentral:rRNA from 1 species
GACGAACGCUGGCGGCGUGCCUAAUACAUGCAAGUAGAACGCACAUUUUAUACCGUAGCUUGCUACACCAUAAACUGUGAGUUGCGAACGGGUGAGUAACGCGUAGGUAACCUGCCUGUUAGCGGGGGAUAACUAUUGGAAACGAUAGCUAAUACCGCAUAAUAUUAAUUAUUGCAUGAUAAUUGAUUGAAAGAUGCAAUUGCAUCACUACCAGAUGGACCUGCGUUGUAUUAGCUAGUAGGUGAGGUAACGGCUCACCUAGGCGACGAUACAUAGCCGACCUGAGAGGGUGAUCGGCCACACUGGGACUGAGACACGGCCCAGACUCCUACGGGAGGCAGCAGUAGGGAAUCUUAGGCAAUGGACGAAAGUAUGACCGAGCAACGCCGCGUGAGUGAAGAAGGUUUUCGGAUCGUAAAGCUCUGUUGUAAGAGAAGAACGGGUGUGAGAGUGGAAAGUUCACACUGUGACGGUAUCUUACCAGAAAGGGACGGCUAACUACGUG